rnacentral:rRNA from 1 species
UACGGAGGGUGCAAGCGUUAUCCGGAUUCACUGGGUUUAAAGGGUGCGUAGGCGGGCAGGUAAGUCCGUGGUGAAAUCCCCGAGCUUAACUCGGGAACUGCCAUGGAUACUAUUUGUCUUGAAUAUUGUGGAGGUAAGCGGAAUAUGUCAUGUAGCGGUGAAAUGCUUAGAUAUGACAUAGAACACCAAUUGCGAAGGCAGCUUGCUACAGGGAUAUUGACACUGAGGCACGAAAGCGUGGGGAUCAAACAGG